rfam:Gossypium hirsutum cultivar TM-1 chromosome 9, whole genome shotgun sequence
UGUUAAAAAUUUCAUCCAUUUAUAUUGUUAAAAACUAACGUGGUUGAUAAAAUAACUAGAAAGUGACAUGUGGAUGUCAUAUAUACCUCAUGCUUAUGUACAAAGGUCAAUUUUUAAUAGAAGAAAUAGAUGAAAUUUUUAACA